GCCAUUUAAGUCACCGCGGAGGAAGAGUAAAAAAAAAGCGUUUGUUUUAUGAUACAGCUGGUACCGGAUGCGCCUCAGAGGUAUCUUUUAACCUUAAAAGACGGGCUGUUUUGCUGCAUAGCUGGAGCCCCAUAGAGGCUAUUACAAACGGGGCCACUCUCUAUUCACCGAGAGAGGGGAGAGCAGCGCUGGUGGAAGAGGCGGGAGGGGGGGAGGGGGGGGGGGGGGGGGUGCUGAGGAGGAGGGCGAGGGAUGAAGGGAGGAAGGAGGGAGUGUGGGAGAGGAGAAACGUGUAAUCACCCAAACAACCAUUUUUACCCAUUUCACCCCCUCUGGAUCUGUGGCGCAAGGUAAGAAAAAGGGGCUACUUGGCUUCUCCACUGGCCCUGUCUGCUUCACAAACUGCUCCGGCUUCACUUCUGUGAGAACUCCUCUCCUUUCCUCUCACACUCCGCAGUGCGCCGCCGGCUUAUGCGCGCCUCCGCUGCGGAUACGCCGACGUGAGGCCGGACCCCGCGGAAGACGCCGAGAGGGAAACACUCUAAACCAACAUCCUGGGUAUAAAUUUGCAAAACGCAAUACAGGCCUGAUUGUGUGUUGAGUGGAUGUGGAGCGCAUACGAAUAGACCCGGGACCCCUUCCUCCUUCCUCCCUUCGAGCAACACAACUCAUUCCCUUCAACUCCCAUCUCUUCUCAUGCAGCCAAGUGAGUAUUGUAGGAAAAUCUUUUUUUCUCGUUACAGAACUAGAUUUUAAGCUCUUGAAUGCAACCUCACAAGAACUGGGUGCCGCUGAUUUUGCCAAACAUUUACUCAAACCAAAUAAUCACUGCUAGUCAGGUGGAAUCUCACUGAUCAGAAUAAUUCUUUUUUACAGAUAUUGAGAAUUCACACACUUUAUAAUGCACGUUUAAAACCUCUAGGUUGCCCUAACACACGCUUUAGUCUACAAUAUCAGAGAAUGUGAAUGGGAAAGCCGAGAACAAGCAAAGCCUUGGCACUGACACCAGGUCAGCUCCGAGCCCCCGCGCGCAGCCCAGCCCUCAGCACCAGGUGUUCGCUGUAUUCAGAUGAUGCUCUCAUUCAUAGACUCCUCCGACCGGAGUAUUAAAACUCAAAAUUUGCAACUGAAUGCUGAUAUAAUCCUGGAAAUAUAUGUCUCCAUUAAAAAGUAGCCCAUUUAAAGGAACAAGGCGGGCUUUGUGCGAGGCUUUAUGUAUAUUUAUCAAGGCGC
rnacentral:lncRNA from 1 species